CAUUAUAACAGCUAAAAUUUACUUGAUUUUGACUUUUAUCCUACAUGGAUAACUGUGGUAAUUCUGGAGCUAAUACAUGCAUAAAAGAUGUUUUUGUAAAAAAACAUUGCGUAUAUUAGUAUUAAAACCAAGCAUUCUUCGGGAUGUUUUGUGUUGAAACUGAAUAUAUCAUGCUGAUCGUAUGGUCUUGUACCGACGACAUGUCAUUCAAGUGUCUGAUCUAUCAACUUUCUAUAUAAGUAUAUAGUACUUAUAUGGUUUUGACGGAUAACGGGGUAUUAGGGUACGACUCCGGAGAAAAUGCCUGAGAAACGGCGUUUACAUCCAAGGAAGGCAGCAGGCGCGAAAAUUACCCACUCUCAGUACGAGGAGGUAGUGACGAGAAAUGACAAGAUCUAUUCCUUCGGGGAUGGAUCAUUGGAAUGGUUUGAUUUUAAAAUCAUUAAAGAGUAUCAAUGAGAGGGCAAGUCUGGUGCCAGCAGCCGCGGUAAUUCCAGCUCUCAUACUGCAUUGAAUUGUUGUUGCGGUUAAAAAGCUCGUAGUUGGAUCUGUACAUGAUAGGUUAGUUCAUCCUUUGGAUUGUAACUAAUACUAAAUGUUUUUUAUAAGAUUUUUGCAUUCUUUACGGAAUGUAAUGUCUUAUGAGUUUACUUUGAAUAAAUCAGAGUGCUCAAAACAGGCGUAAGCUUGUAUGGUUUUGCAUGGAAUAAUAGAACAUGACUAUGGUUCAUGUUUUAUUGGUUUUACUUACCAUAGUAAUGAUUAAAAGGAACAAACGGGGGCAUCAGUAUCGCAGGGCGAGAGGUGAAAUUCGUGGACCCUUGCGAGACGAACUACAGCGAAGGCAUUUGCCAAGA
rnacentral:rRNA from 1 species